rnacentral:rRNA from 1 species
GUGGGGAAUAUUGGACAAUGGGGGGAACCCUGAUCCAGCCAUGCCGCGUGUGUGAAGAAGGCCUUUUGGUUGUAAAGCACUUUAAGCGAGGAGGAGGCUACCGAGAUUAAUACUCUUGGAUAGUGUACGUUACUCGCAGAAUAAGCACCGGCUAACUCUGUGCCAGCAGCCGCGGUAAUACAGAGGGUGCAAGCGUUAAUCAGAUUUACUGGGCGUAAAGCGCGCGUAGGUGGCCAAUUAAGUCAAAUGUGAAAUCCCCGAGCUUAACUUGGGAAUUGCAUUCGAUACUGGUUGGCUAGAGUAUGGGAGAGGAUGGUAGAAUUCCAGGUGUAGAGGUGAAAUGCGUAGAGAUCUGGAGGAAUACCGAUGGCGAAGGCAGCCAUCUGGCCUAAUACUGACACUGAGGUGCGAAAGCAUGGGGAGCAAACAGGAUUAGAUACCCGAGUAGUCC